AGCGAACGCUGGCGGCGUGCCUAACACAUGCAAGUCGAGCGAAGGCAUAUGUGUAGCGAUACAUGUAUGUACUUAGCGGCGGACGGGUGAGUAACACGUGGAUAAUCUGCCCCAAGGACUGGGACAACUCUGGGAAACCGGAGCUAAUACCGGAUAUGACCACGAUGUCUGAGGGCAUCGAGGUAAAAGGGUGGCCUGCAAGGGCUAUUGCCUUGGGANGAGUUCACGACCCAUCAGGUAGUUGGCGGGGUAAAGGCCCACCAAGCCAAAGACGGGUAGCUGGUCUAAGAGGAUGGUCAGCCACACGGGAACUGAGACACGGUCCCGACUCCUACGGGAGGCAGCAGUGGGAAUAUUGGGCAAUGGGCGAAAGCCUGACCCAGCGACGCCGCGUGGGGGACGAAGGCCUUCGGGUCGUAAACCC
rnacentral:rRNA from 1 species